GGGGAUUGAACUCAGGGACACUCGACCACUGAGCCACAUCCCAGCCCUAUUUUGUAUUUUAUUUAUAGACAGGGUCUCACUGAGUUGCUUAGUGCCUUGCCAUUGCUGAGGUUGGAUUUGAUCUCACGAUCCUCCUGCCUCAGCCUCCUGAGCCACUGUAAUUACAGGCUUGCGCCACUGUACCCAGCUUGGAGGGUUUUGAUAAUUGUUUUAUUCUCACUUAAAACCUUAAACUAGAAACAUUUCUUUUUGAUUAAAUAGCAUAAUAUAUAUUCUUUGUUUGCUCACAAAGUUGUAUUAAGUUAAUUUUGCAUCAUGUAAGGAAGAACUCAGGUUGUGUGUUGGAAUGUGGAUAGAGGUUUACCACCAUUUUGUACAGCACAGGGGCCACAUACAAGCACUCUGAAGCUGGGGUCCAUGCUCUGUCGCUUGCACAGCCCUGGGCAGAUUCCAUGAGCUCUUUGCCUUUGGCUUCUUCUUCACUCAAAAUGGGGCUGAUGGGACCACCUUACCUUAGCGGUGUAGUGUAAAGAAAUUAUACGUGUAGAGUGCUUAGUUCUAGUGUUGAUCCCAUUGGCUGGACGAAGAAGUGGAGUCUCAGAGAAAUCAGCACUAAGGUCACACGUAAUAAAUGCUUAAUGACUGGUUGAUUGCAACAGUUAAUUGGAAAGAAAUGAGUGAGGGGAAAAAAUGGCUGCUUUUCCCAGAAGCAUACAAAGUGAGUGUCGCAGAAGUGCCUGGAGUGCUGCCUCGGUAGAGAGCAGCGCGGGGAGAGGGAGGAUGUGCCGAAUCUAAAUCUCGGCUCUCCUCCUUGCCAGCUGAGGGACUGUAAGCAGGUUGCUUCACCACUCUGAGCCCAGGUUUCUCCCCAGCAGUGUCCCAGGCCUUGGGGAUAUAGCAGAGGACGCUGUAGAGUCCACACCCACAGGAGCUCACCUUCUGCCGAGGUGACUGAAAGUCCACAAGAUGGGAUGAAAACGAGAGUGUUGCCGCUGUAGCAGCAGGUGAAGACGGCAGUCUUUGCUGCCUCAGGCACACCUGAGCAGAGGCCGGCGGGCGUGCGGGCCCAGGGAGCAGCGAGAACCUGGGACCUGGGGCACAGUGGCUUGAGACUGGCCAGACACGCAGGUCUGCAAGGCCCCGAGUGACUGGAAGGUAUCUAAAGUGUGUCGUGGUGCCGGGCAGUGUAGCCGAGGAGGUGUGCUGUGCUGCGGUUCCCACUGUCACACUGUCACUCUUGGUGAGGAAGAAGAAUCAAAGUGGGAAAGUGACGAAGGGCCACUGAUGGUGGUGCCGUGGCCCCUGAGAAAGAUUUGAACAGCUGCGUGCUGGAGGUGAAUCCACAGAAACUGCUCCGGGCUCACUGGAGGUGAGGGUGAGUGGGUCCGCAGGAAAGCUCCUGAGAUUUUGUUGAAUUGGGCAGAUUUCCUCUUCACAGAGGUGGAACUUCAGCGUGAAGAACAGUUCUUAGGUGUGAGUUGGCUGCAGCAGGGAGCAUCCACAGUUCCACUUGGGGCAAAUCAAGUUUGGGGUGCUUCUGUGGCAUCCGCAUGGAGAUGAUCUUGACUGUAACUGCACAUACAAGCUGAGCCCAGAGGACAAGUCAGUGCUGGAAACGCCGUGUGGAACCGUGGAAGUGAACAGGCUCAUCCAGGGAGAGCAUGGGCCAUUUGGGGAGAGACCUGGGCUAAGCCACAGCCUGCAUCUGUGCCUACAGGUCAGCCUGCACGGAACACACAGUGGCUUCAUCCUCAGAUUGUGCAUCAUGGGCUUGCCUGUGCCCUUCUCAUGUCCUGUCCCUUACUGUGGUACACGCUUCAGUGAAGACCCCGGUACACGGAGCUUACCUGUGUUUUAAGUUGCAUAUACAUGAGGUCAAGGAAGGAAGAUGUGGCUAGAGAUUUUCUCAGCAAAGUGUUUAGAUUAGAAAAGAAAGGGCACUUCCAAAUCCCAGUGGUGAUUGUCAGUGAAGAUAAUUAGUAAUUCUGACCAAACCUCACCGAAGACAACGAAAAACAGGCCAGGAUAUUUAAAAACCACCGUCUGAAGGCUUGGAGCACUAGCAGGGCACACAGGGCCUUGAGGAGCCCCUCUUUCUUUACUUAGGAUGCCAGAGGGCUGCACUAGAGCACCUGUGAGCCAGAGCAAGCUCUCCAUUUCUGAUUAUUCAGUCCCAGAGAUUGUGAGGUGGCCCUGGGGUGUGGUGACAUCUGGUGUUGGGCCUCAGUCCCAGGUAACAGGCAACAUAGUAAGUCCUGUGGAAGAAGACAAGUCCUCGGGUCCUAAAUUAAUUUUUCAUGUGACAGAAUCCAGUGCAGAUUCCUGAGCUGGAAAAAAUGAAAAAUAUAACCAGAAGUGAGGCAUCAGUAUACGAGAUCAGCCAGAAAAGAGAAAUAGUGAAUGGAAGAUGAGCGGCUGGCUAGGGGAGCAGGCCCUGGAGAAGGCGGAAGGCGGGAAAGGGACACGGGGGAGACAGAAGUCUAGUGCUGCCGUCUGGAGUCUGAGGAGAGGAAGGGUGUUUUCACUCCUAGCAGUAACAGCUGAGUGUCCCCUGAGGGCCACAGCAGGGGAGCCUACACGAGCACCCGGGAGCCAGUUCCUCCAGCAAACCCAGGAUUGAUGAUGAGCCAGCCACGUGAGGGGGAAGCUCGUUCCCAGGGAUUGGUCAUUCUUUUCUUUCCCCACCACCAGCCAUCUUGUCCAGUGACUGUCUCUGAAUCUCGUCUACACAAAGGCUGGGGCCACCGUGCAGUCAGCGUGCAGUGCUCGGAGCCACCAGUGCUCCCGAGUGUGAGCUCCGUGUGGUCUAGACAGGCAGGGCCUGUCCCUCGCUGAGUGCUUACAUACCCAGGGCACCAUCCUCAGCUCACAGCACAAACACACCCUCCUCCAGUAGUACGUGGGCUGAGGAGGUACUGCAGUUUGUGGGGGAGAGCAGGUGUUUGUCUCUUUGGGGUAAAGCAAAUGUAUAUUUUUUCUCAGCAUAGACAGAUAAGCUCUUGCAAGUAACGUGUAUUUAUCCCAGCAAUAUAAACAAACACGUUUAUAAUUUUGGCCGGCUUUUGGGGAAGAAAAAAAAAAAAAACAUGAUUUUUGCCUGUUUUGUAGGCAAAUAUUCUUUUGAGCAAUUCCAGAUUAGCAUGUUUCCAAGCACAGGGGCAUUUUGGCAGGUGUCAUAGACUGAAUUGCCACCACCCAAAUUCAUGUUGAAGUCCUCACUCCUAGGACCUCAGAAUGAAACAGAUUGAGCUGUUUAUUUAGCAGUAGGUUUUUAAAGAAGUCACUAAGUUAAAUGAGGUGGACCCUUAUCGUGGUGGUGGUUCUAAUCCAGGGUAAUUGGUGCCCCCCUAUAAAAACGGGAGAUCUGGACACGUGGUGAGAAGGAGGCUGCGUGAGGACACGGGGAGGAUGGCCAGCUACAGGCCCAGCAGAGGGGCCUCAGAAGAAACCAGCCCUGCCUCCAGCUGAUCUGGAGACCUCCUGUCUCCAGGGCCGAGAACAAACUCCUACUGCUCAGGCGCUCAGUGUGUGGAGCAUCAAGGGGCAGCCCUAGCACACAGUGCAGCAGGAACUCAUUUGCAGGUUCAAGCCCAGCAGGUCAAUUGGUUUGAAGGUUUGCUGCACAAAUCACCACAGAGCAGAAGCAGUUCAGAAGGGAUCAGCAGAGAGUUUUCCAUAACCCGGGAGCGACAUCUAGC
rnacentral:lncRNA from 1 species